rnacentral:rRNA from 1 species
AACUAACUAACAUAUAAUGUUAAGUGUACUGUGUGGUAGAGGAGCAUUCUAUAGUAGGAAGAAGUAUGAUCGAAAGGACAUAUGGACGAGAUAGAAGAGAGAAUGCCGGAAUAAGUAGCGAGAGCAAAGUGAGAAUCUUUGCCGUCGAAAGUCUAAGGUUUCCUGGGGAAGGUUCGUCCGCCCAGGGUAAGUCGGGACCUAAGGUGAGGCUGAAAAGCGUAGCCGAUGGACAGCAGGUAUAAAAUUCCUGCACUACCGAAUACUUAAAAGAUUCAAAUGACACAGUAGAGGAAGAGAAUCCAGGAAGAGGAAAAACUGGAGCCGAAAGGCAUAGUGAAAAUAUAAAGUAACGAAGUUUCAAGAAUCACACUGGCGAGAAAAGUUUGAAGAUAUUGUAAAAGGUACCCGUACCGCAAACCGACACAGGUAGAUGAGGAGAGGAUCCUAAGGCGAGCGAGAGAAGUAUUGUUAAGGAACUCGGCAAACUAACCCCGUAACUUAGGGAGAAGGGGUACCAUAAUAAAAUAUGGUCGCAGAGAAGAGUCCCAAGCAACUGUUUAACAAAAACACAGGUUUCUGCUAAAUCGAAAGAUGAAGUAUAGGAGCUGACGCCUGCCCAGUGCUGGAAGGUUAAGGGGAAGGGUUAGUCGAAAGACGAAGCCUAGAACUAAAGCCCCAGUGAACGGCGGCCGUAACUAUAACGGUCCUAAGGUAGCGAAAUUCCUUGUCAGGUAAGUUCUGACCCGCACGAAAGGCGUAAUGAUUUGGGAGCUGUCUCAACAAUAUACUCGGCGAAAUUGUAGUACUAGUGAAGAUGCUAGUUACCUGCGACAAGACAGAAAGACCCCAUGGAGCUUUACUGCAGCUUGAUAUUGGGUUUCGGUAAUUUAUGUACAGGAUAGGUGGGAGACGGAGAAGUUCUGGCGUCAGCUAGAAUGGAGUCACCCUUGGGAUACCACCCUUAAGUUAUUGAAAUUCUAACCUGUGAUCAUAAACUGGUCAAGGGACAAUGUCAGGCGGGCAGUUUGACUGGGGCGGUCGCCUCCUAAAGAGUAACGGAGGCGCCCAAAGGUUUCCUCAGCACGGACAGAAAUCGUGCGAAAGAGUGCAAAGGCAGAAGGAAGCUUAACUGAAAGACAGACAUGUCGAGCAGAUACGAAAGUAGGGCUUAGUGAUCCGGCGGUAGUGAGUGGAAAUGCCGUCGCUCAACGGACAAAAGUUACCCUGGGGAUAACAGGCUUAUCUCUCCCAAGAGUUCACAUCGACGGGGAGGUUUGGCACCUCGAUGUCGGCUCAUCGCAUCCUGGAGCGGAAGUACGUUCCAAGGGUUGGGCUGUUCGCCCAUUAAAGCGGUACGCGAGCUGGGUUCAGAACGUCGUGAGACAGUUCGGUCCUUAUCUGUCGCAGGCGGAGGAUAUUUGAAGGGAUCUGUCCUUAGUACGAGAGGACCAGGAUGGACACACCAAUGGUACAACAGUUGUCAUACCAAUGGCAUAGCUGUGAAGCUAAGUGUGGAAGGGAUAAACGCUGAAAGCAUCUAAGUGUGAAGCCCA